UUUGUUCGUUUGUUGUUCAACCAGUUGGAACACCCUAACGAAUCUGUCAACAGCACAUCUUUAUCAACGUGAUUUCUCUCGGCAAGACAUUAACCACCUGAAGGAAUGUCGGUAAACAUGACGAGGACUCUGGGAUUUUUGAACGAGAGAAAGGAGCAAACUGAACGGACUACAAAUAUGGAUACUCUUGCAGUUUCAAGUGUGUUCUGGGGGGCUUUCACUGACUCACUCUCCCACAAAAACCAUCUUUAUUUUCUGGUCUUCAAAGGAGGAAGUGGACACUGAAUGAUGAUCAUACAAUGAGGAAUCAAACUUAUGAAACAAACUGGUGUGAACACAAAUGAUCAGAAAUCUUUAAAACCAGGACUGCAGUUAAAGCAGCUCGGCUGAAGUGAAGUGAAGCAGAUGGGAUCACAAAAAAAGUGAAAAAAGACUUUAAAUAUCAUGGAUGAGACGAAGACACAAAGUUACAUCAAACAUCAAGAUGAAGACACAAUGAAAGUGUUUCCCAGUCACUUCUGUCAUGGGAACAUUCAACAACGUCUGGAUUUGUGGCCACAUUUUCUUCAUGACCAUGUAUCUCCAAUCCCUUUGAAACCACAGAAGAUAAUGUGUUUUAUAAAACGUACAGCUCAACAUCUAAGGCUAGACCGACAGAACCCGAUGGGUUAUCAACUCCAGUCCAGUGUGUCGAUGACCCUGCUGGUUUGAAUGGAGUCGUGGUGUUUGGAGAGAGAACAUAUCCAUUACCUAAUCCUCAGUUUGGGAACUAUCAUCCAAACCAUGGCGACGACUAUGUGGGAGGAGUGUCUGCGCAUCAGCGGCGCUCAGAGGAGGUUCUUCACCAGGCAGAGAUCUUUCUGCUCCAGAGACGCAUGACAUCUAGGGGAAGAUCGAACGAGCCCCUGAACCCUUGUCCACUCUGCCAUAGUGACACCACCAACAGAGGACCCCAGAGCAGCUGGAGUCUGAAUAGUCCAAUGAUGGCUGCUUGGAUCCCAUUGAUGCUGCUGAUACUUUAUGAAUUAUUUAUUCAUAACUAAUCCAAUCUAUCAGCCUGCCAUAUUGGAGGGAACUUGGACCUGUUCAUCUGGACCCUUUCUUGGUGUUCAAACACAAUCUUUGUUAGCUCAGGUGACCUCAAGAGAAGAAGGAAAAAAAACGUUUUAAAGGCUAGUUGGAUGAAUGGAGGUCAGAUUGUUCAUUUCUGAUGCAUUCAAUGAAAUCAGGAUGCCUGAAUUACUGAAAAGCUGUACAUAAUAGUAUGUAUUUAUCAUGUGUGUAUUUGUUUUAAAUUAUAAUUUUAUUAUUUUUUUAAAUAAAGUAAAUUAAAUCCAUGUUUCUCUUAUUGAAAUCUAUCA